rnacentral:rRNA from 1 species
GAUGAACGCUAGCGGCAGGCUUAAUACAUGCAAGUCGAGGGGCAGCGGGAGUAGCAAUACUUGCCGGCGACCGGCGCACGGGUGCGUAACACGUAUGUAAUCUGCCCAUCACAGGAGGAUAGCCCGGAGAAAUUCGGAUUAAUACUCCAUAAUAGAAGAUAAAGCAUUUUAUUUUCUUGAAAGUUCCGACGGUGAUGGAUGAACAUGCGACUGAUUAGUUUGUUGGUGAGGUAACGGCUCACCAAGACUACGAUCAGUAGGGGUACUGAGAGGUUAAACCCCCACACUGGUACUGAGACACGGACCAGACUCCUACGGGAGGCAGCAGUGGGGAAUAUUGGACAAUGGGGGCAACCCUGAUCCAGCGACGCCGCGUGUGUGAAGAAGGCCUGCGGGUUGUAAAGGCACUUUUAGUGGGGAGGAAGGUCUGCGACCUAACACGUCGUGGAAUUGACUUAACCCACAGAAAAAGCACCGGCUAACUCUGUGCCAGCAGCCGCGGUAAAG